rnacentral:lncRNA from 1 species
GGACGAGAUGCUGAUUUAAAAUAGGCAACCGGAGAGCGUGGCUCGAUCUUGUAGUUUCUACAGUACGGCAGCCAAUGCUUGGAGAACAUGGUAGCUUGAGUGAGAGCAUAGAAGGUAAGUUCAGAGCCACCAUCGUCCGAGAGAUAGACGGAGAGCUUCUCCGGAGGGUAGUCAUACGCCAUUACGGAUAAAACAGUGCUGACCACCAUCAUCGGUGGCUCGAUUUUGGGGUCAGCCGUGCAUACAAAUAUGUCCACCCGCGGCAGUUGGUUUAACCUUUGAGAGAGUCGUUGUUUGAAGGUGCGCCGGUACGUGGGAUUCCAUCGAACCGAUUGAGUCAACACCCAAUACAGACCCAACCAUAGCUCCGCCAUAAACAUCCCCGUCCACCACCAGCUCCGCCCACCGGAAACUGCCGUUGAUGGUGGCUGUUGUGUUGCUCUGUAUACCCAUAUCCAUAUAAUACUCACCAACACCGUCGUUGCAAACACCCUGUGUAGCUUCCUCCCUUUUGCUCUCUGUGUUUCAAAUAAUGGACUAUUUUCACCACCCAUUGUUUUCUCUGUUUAGAAUCUACCCAUGCAGG